rnacentral:rRNA from 1 species
AUUGAACGCUGGCGGCAGGCCUAACACAUGCAAGUCGAACGGUAACAGGAAGCAGCUUGCUGCUUCGCUGACGAGUGGCGGACGGGUGAGUAAUGUCUGGGAAGCUGCCUGAUGGAGGGGGAUAACUACUGGAAACGGUAGCUAAUACCGCAUAAUGUCGCAAGACCAAAGAGGGGGACCUUCGGGCCUCUUGCCAUCGGAUGUGCCCAGAUGGGAUUAGCUUGUUGGUGGGUAACGGCUCACCAAGGCGACGAUCCCUAGCUGGUCUGAGAGGAUGACCAGCCACACUGGAACUGAGACACGGUCCAGACUCCUACGGGAGGCAGCAGUGGGGAAUAUUGCACAAUGGGCGCAAGCCUGAUGCAGCCAUGCCGCGUGUAUGAAGAAGGCCUUCGGGUUGUAAAGUACUUUCAGCGGGGAGGAAGGGAGUAAAGUUAAUACCUUUGCUCAUUGACGUUACCCGCAGAAGAAGCACCGGCUAACUCCGUG